rnacentral:rRNA from 1 species
UACGAAGGGGGCUAGCGUUGCUCGGAAUCACUGGGCGUAAAGCGCACGUAGGCGGCUUUCUAAGUCAGGGGUGAAAUCCUGGAGCUCAACUCCAGAACUGCCUUUGAUACUGGGAAGCUCGAGUCCGGAAGAGGUGAGUGGAACUGCGAGUGGAGCGGUGAAAUGCGUAGAUAUCUGGAGGAACACCGGUGGCGAAAGCGGCUCACUGGACCGUGUCUGACGCUGAGGUGCGAAAGCUAGGGUAGCGAACGGG